rnacentral:lncRNA from 1 species
CAGCGCCAAUUUUUGUCAGGCAUAUCCAUUAGACCACCGCCAAUAACACACAACUUGACGUACACACUUCCGCAUGCUGUCAAUUCUAUUUCGUCACAAAACCGCCUUGCUCAUUCCAAAGAAAAACUAUGUCACCUCCAUCUAUUCUUAUCUCGCCCAUAAAAUCCAUAAAAACAUGGGCGUGUAAAAACGAAACAAAAUUCUCCACCAGAAAAUCCAGCCGCACUUCACCAGGGCUUUAGCUUUAUAUCCUGCCAACCAUUUGAAUGGCAGUAGAUGUCUUAGCCGUCCAUUUGUAGAUGAAGAAAUUGAUAAGAUCUCGCGUUCAAUUCCAUUUACACAACUUAGCAUGGAAGUAAGGUUGCUGGGAAUUCAUUUCUUAAUUAACAUUAUGCAUUAAUAUUCAUUUGACCAAUGACACACCACACAAUUUUGUGCUUCUUUUAACAUUUAGCUUUGAUGACUUGGCCUGAUGACUUGAUAUGCAUGUGUACCUAAGUGUCAAAUAUCAGUAUAAUCAUAAAGCUUUUAUGCCAUAUUACUUAAGCUUUUAAGGCAAUUUAAUAUCGCAAAUAGAACCCAGAUUUUUUUUAAGCUCUUAUCUGCGAUAGAAUUUUAAGUAAUAUAAUAAAUAUAGCAAAUAAGAAGGAGCUAAUUUAGAAGAUUAGUAUUUGUAAUAAGGCAAAAGUGAGAACAAUAGGAGCCCAUAUUUGAUGUAUAGUUAGCCUAUGCUGAUUACAAUAUGCAGUUUGCAAGCCCCUGCUGUGUUCUCUAAAGAUAAGGGGUACACACUACCAAUACUGAGUGUAUUUUGUACUCUUAUUGCUUACUAGAUUGAACUCACAUAAAGAGCUUGAAAAGGGCGUGACUGUUUUUACGAAUGCCCUAAAUAAAGCUUAUUACUACGCAUACCCUACACUGCGACUCAAGCACAAAAAAAACCCGAUAGCUUGGGUCCUGCAGCCGCAAACUACGAGAAUGCUUCAAUUGGGCCAAGCUAGCAGAAGGCGAAAAGUCUUAGAACGAAUAUAAAGAUUUUCUAAGGAAAUACAGGAGGUUGGCAGGAAAAAUCGAUAAUCCUGGAAAAACUUUUUAGUGUAUUUGAAAAAAUCCAAGAGGUGACGACACUUAAGAAACUAAUAUCUAAAAGCCCUCUUCGCCCGAUCUAAUUUUCAAAAGUAGCGGAGAGUGGACGGACAACUGACAUGACUCAUUGGAAGACCUAGUCAGUGCCUUUUCAGGGUGUAAGACAGAAUCAUUUCGGCAAUGCUGCGGAAUGCACACUGUCUAUGCAUGCCUUGACUGAAGGCGAUUUUUAGGGGAUGCUUGAAGAUCAGCUAUGUGCUACACUCAAGGGGAGAGGUGAAGGUAGUUGUCAUACCGAAGGUAGGUAGGAACAACCCAACCUACUCAAAAGAGUUUAGGCCUAUAAGCUUAACUUCCUUCCUGUUGGAAACGCUUGAGAAAAUAAUUUAAUAUCGAAAAGGCUUUUGAAUAUAAGGAAUAUGCUCUUGGAGCACUCCUAGACAUUUCUGGAGCCUUCAACAUAGGUGUAGAUCCUGCUAUACAACGCCGCAUCAUAAGCCUUUUGACCUCUAGACGGAUAAGAGCAGAAUGAAACAACGCUAAAAUGACCAAGAUGGAGUGAUAUCUCCGCCUCUAUGGACAUAAGUCAUGAAUAAACUGCUCAGGAACUUGAAAGGCAAAGCCCUUAAGAUUGCGGCAUAUGCGGACGACAUUGCCAACUUAAAAACGGGAAGGUGUCUACAGAGCUUUCGCAGUAUUAUGAUCACCUCUCUCAAUACAGUCCAGAACUGGGCUCACAAGUGGGUCUGGGGUUGAACCCGGAAAAGCGGUUCUGCUGCUGGUGUUCACAAGAAAACACAAAAAAGGGUUCACAGGCUCGCUGCGCUGUGCAAACGGGAGCUUUAAGAACAACUCUAACGGCGGCUCUUGAACUAGUACUAAACUAAACCUAUAGAAUUUUCGAUGAAAACUGCGCAGCAAAAACGGCGGGACGACUACUGGCUGCAGAAGAAUUUACAUAUAAAACCUUGGGCCAUAGCUUGGUUGGUAAUGGCGGUUGGGCAACCCUGUCUACAUGAACGGACUUUUCAACUGGGAAAGAAGGUUCACAGAAAAGAUAGAAAAAUAUGGCUGGCGUAAAGGUGUAUAAGCUACGCGCAACACUGCAGGCAAUUCCAGAGCAGUAACCUCGCAUGGCAUAUCAGACUGGAAUCUUGGGAAGCAGGGCUUUCAGUGGAAAGUGUCUCCAGAAGUAAGCAACUUCACUUUUACUGGGUGCCAGGCUACAAGAGCAACGAGGGAAAUGAAAUAAUGGACUAGAUUGCCAAGAAUGGUAUAUGGCUAAAAUUCCAAAACAUGGUCAACAUUGGGAAACUCAUGCAUUGUCCAUACGACGAUCUCGACAGAAGAAUGGUGAAAAAAAUCAAAACCCGAUGGAACUGGCUACCAGGGCGCAAAACCGCAAAAGUCAUGUGCAAAACGGUAGAUUGGAAGUAUACAAACUUCCUAUUGGCACUCGAUAGAAGAGAGAGAAGGCAUCAUAGACGAUUACUACUCCUCUUGGACUUAGCGACUGUACUCGAUCUGGUAUCGCAAAGGACCAAACUGCUCAAGCAUGGCUUAGAGGUCUACGAGUUUGAACUGUGAGCCAAGUUUUAUCAAGUCAAACGGAUGAGUGAGCGGCAUCAACUUGGUGGCCAAUCGACCAGCCAUGUGUGGGAAGUGGCGCUGUCUUGUUGAAACCAAGUGUCGUCGAGAUCGCGAGUUUCAAUCUCUGGCAUUAAAUAGUCGGCGCAAUAAGAGCGCCAUUUACGGUCACGUUCUCACCGGCACCAUUUUUGAAGAAAUAUAGACCGAUGAUUAGACCGGUCUCUGCGGCAUCAACGGAAACUUCAAAGCCGAAGGGUUGCUACGAAGGGCAUCCUUACUUUAAUUUUAUCCGAUUGGAAGCGAGUCGGUUUUCCGAUGAAUUCUGGUGUUCUGGCAUUGCACGUAUAACUGUGGACCUCAGCAGCAUGCGCUGUACAACAACCAGAACUUUUGCGACUGCGAGAUUCUUCUGGCCCAGAGUAAACCGUAAGAUAAAGUCAAAUUCACCGUAUUUUUUCAUGUUCUGGCCGACUUUUUCCAGCCUGAGUUAGAAAUAUCUGUGUUGACACACGUUUACCGAAGCUAGCAAAGUGGCUGAGAUUGAUUAAUAAAUUUGUGGUCUACUUAAAAUGCUUCGUCGAUCUAUGAGGACCCAAUUUUAGGAGUUUGUGUUUAGCACAAAGGCCGAAUAUCUCAGCAUUUCGUUACACCAAUCCACACGAGCCUUUUUUGAGCG